rnacentral:lncRNA from 1 species
AUUUUUUUUGUAUUUUUAGUAGAGACGGGGUUUCACCGUGUUAGCCAGGAUGGGGGAUCACAUUUUAAUAAGUAGGUACUCAGGGCUGGGGUGUACCUGUUGCUGCCUGACCACUGCUGGUGUGUGUGGGUAUAAGGUGACAAAACCUCCUACCCCUGUGAGGUUGUUUCAAGGAUUAAAUGAGUUGAGAUGGGUAAGCAUCUAACAAAGAUCCAGAUUAUUUAGUAUGCAUCCCCUGAAUUAUUGCUAACAUAAUUUUAAUGAUUGGGGAAUUUUAUCUGUGGCUGCCAGUCCCUACGAGAGAGCUGCCUGGGUCACAUGUCAGAUAGCUCAAGCUUUGAAUCACUGAAACGAAACGGUCCACUUCCCUGUCCCUUUAGGAACAAGGCUUCGAGGUCUGUGGCAAGCCUCAGCAGGCAUUUGGAGUUCAAGGUCUGUUCUCUUUCUGUGCCAUAGAGGUGGGGAGACAAGGUAGGGUGUUGCUUCUUGCCUGGAGCGCAGAUGCUACCAGAAACCAACACAACCAAAGUUGCCCGGGAGCCCCCAGAAGCAGCAGAGUGGCCAUCAACUGCCAAGGGGCCAGGGUAGGCCACAGAGGCCUGGGGCCCAGGAGGGAUGGUCUGUGGGGAGAAAGGGGAUUAUUGUGAACAUCAACGCUGGGGAUAAUGUGCCCUGAAGACAGCAGCAUAUCACGUUUGGACGGUUGGUGGACCCCAUCUGGUCCCACUCAUAAGGAGAACAGAGGCCCUGGGGUGUGCUGGGACUUGCCUGAGGCCUCAGACCGGGACUGGGUGCUCCUCCGCACCUCCUAUGAGGGAGGGUGUCCGUGUCUGUGAGGACAGCUCAGCAGGGCUGGGAACCUGGGGGCAGUGCUGGGGGACAUGUGUGAGACUAGCGUGUGUGGGCCUUGCUCGGCUUGCCCUGGUGCCCUGAGAAAAACCUGGUAUUUGAAAAUACACAUGGACUGCUGGAAGGUCAGGAAAUCCAGGGUUUUGUUCUGAGGCAGUGGAAGUGUUACCGUGAGCCUGUGUUGGCCUCUCUCCUCACUCCACCUGCAGCCAAUUCAGCCACACUGCCUUUGCAUGGAACCCAGGGUUGCAGGCCGCGUGUGUAGAUGCUGAUUUAGGCCCAAGCACUCAGCUGUCAGCAGGAAGGACCAUAGUGUUUUCUUCUAGUUUUAGAUAUGCACUCGUUCUGUGUUUUAAAGUCACAGCUGUGAGCCAAUAUGGGAAGAAGUGAAGUGGCCUCUAGGAGGGACUGAGCACCCUGUCCUUGGAGGUAUGCAAGCCCAGGCUACACCCUUCCUGUCUGGGAUGAUAUGGCUGGGGGUGGGCUUUGUGCUGCGUGGACCAUGGCAAGCCUUUCCAUCUCUGAGAGGUAGUGGUCCUUCCCGUGCCUUCUGUUAAAGAUAAUUUUUUAAAAAAAGGCAUAACUCAUAUAUAUUACAUGUACACAUGUCAAAGAUUUUAUUUAACUCAGUAAUUGAGAGUGCUGCUAAGAUUAACAGCCAGUUCAAAAGAGAAAUCACAAUGAACCAUAAAUCUGUAUGGAGUAAAGGAAAGUUGAAACUGGCUGGGGUUUUUUUUUUUUUUUUUUUUUUUGAGGAGAAAGGUCAAUUGAAUCUUAUUCGUAUAAUAUGCACAUCCAUAGACAAGAAUUAUUUUGCAUUAACUCUACAACUUAGUUGUAAAAAUAGCUCAAAGGCAGUGAAAGACUAGAAUCAGAUAAUUGGAAGGGUGCACCCUAAGCAAUGCAUAGUUCUAUUUUCUUUCUUUUUUUUUUUGAGACAGAGUUUCCCUCUUGUCACACAGGCUGGAGCGCAGUGGUGCAAUCUUGGCUCAUUGCAACCUCUGCCUCCCGGGUUCAAGUGAUUCUCCUGACUCAGCCUCCUGAGUAGCUGGGAUUACAGGCGCAUGCCACCACAACUGGCUAAUUUUUGUAUUUUUAGUAGAUACAGGGUUUCACUGUGUUGGCCAGGUUGGUCUCAUACUCCUGACCUCAGGUGAUCCACCCGCCUCGGCCUCCCAAAAUGUUGGGAUUACAGGCGUCAGCCACCACGCCCGGCCCCAAUGCAUAGUUUUUUACUGAAGACAACCAGAAUCUCUGUUGCUUAUUCCAAAUUUCCUUCCACCACUUGUCCAUCCAGCAGAGCCACUUUUAAAAUAGGACACAGGCAGAAAUUUAAAGGAGUCAAUAUCUCAUGGUGAAAAGUGAAUCCUGAGGGUUAGAGCAUCCACCAGGUGCCCUAGGUAAGGGCCAGCCACUCUGGGAGGCAGCCCGGGGCACUCACUGUCCUCUCAGUAGUAAAUGAAAUCACUCAGGCCAUGUCUGCUACCCAGAGAGCCUGAGUGUCCUCAAAUGCUUGUUCUGCCUCUCCAUCCACUCCUGCAGACACCUCAGUGGCUGCAUCCCAAACCGCUGAACUUUGCUUCUCUUUCUCCAACCCCCAAUUCCACCCACAUCCAAAACUGCUCUGCCCCCUAUUCCCAUCUCAGCUGAGGGUACUAUCAUCCACCCUGUGGCCACAUCCAGGAAUGUGUGUAUCACCUGGGCUCUGAGGAUGACAUCAGCUCUUCUAAGUCAACAGAAUGUCGGGUCUGUUCUAAAAGUCUCAUCUGACAAGGAGAUCUUUAAGGCUUUACUCCCUUAAAGGCUUUACUCCCAUCAUGAUGGGAUAACCAUCAUGAUGGAUUUCAGUGUCAUUCUGUCUUUUUCUUCGGAAUGAUUCCUGGGACUCGCCUUGUUUGCAACAUGUGCAUUGAAAUAUCUUUUCAACAUAACUUUGUUCUUAAUUGUGUUUACUUCCUUUCUCUGUGAAUCUCAGUGAUUCCUGGAAGCUGUGGUUGGUGGGGGAUGGGGUGGGAGGACUUUGGUAGUAUAAAAGAGUACCUGCAAUGAAUGUUCUAAGAAACUGGAGUGUUGGGGUCCUCCAGCCCUUGGCUGGUAAACUCUCCACUCCUUCCUCUUUGCAACACAAUUCUCAUAACUGGCAAAGGUGUGCAUGUAAAAUUUGUGACUGUAGUCUGAGGUUUUUUUUCCCUGUACAAUUCCGCCUUCCCCCCUGUAAGCCUGUACCAGGAGAGGUCUCAGCUGCCUUGGAGGCGGUGAGACACGUGGGUGCUCACUGUGGCCCUCAAGGGUGAGGCUGGCACUGGGGCAUCUGGGGCCAGAAGUCCUCCUUUAGUCCCAAGUCUCUGCCACUCAAGUGCAUCAGUGAGAGGUCCUCAUAGAAAAUCUACUGUGGGCACAAAGCUGCCAGGCUGAUGGGGGUGGGGAGCAAACGAACACCCUUUUCCCCUUUUACACCAGAGGAAAGAGACUUAGACUGAGGAACUUGCCUGCUGCCAGACAGCUGGGAGGUGGUAGAACCGGGCUUACAGCCCAGGGUUUCCACUCUAGGAACUCUUCUCCCUUCCUCUGAUGACACUAACUCGCAGGCCAUGAUCAAUGAGCAACGAUGUAGGCAGGCACUGACGAGGCACAGCAGGAAGGCAGCUCAGUGCCCAUGACGGCCAGGAACUGGGUACCAUUUCCUCAGCAAAAUGGGAUAGUAACUCCCACACUGCAGCUACGCACUUGGGCAGUGGUUCACAAGGCCAGCAGCCACAACAUCACCCCAGACCAGCAGCAGCUGCAGCAUUACCCCCAGCACUUGUUAAAAGAUGCAAAUUCAGGCCAGGUGUGGUGGCUCGUGCCUGUAAUCCCAGUACUUUGGGAAGCCAAGGCGGGUGGGUCACCUGAGGUCAGGAGUUCGAGACCAGCCUGGCCAAUGUGGUGAAACCCUGUCUCUACUAAAAAUACAAAAAAUGACCCGGGCAUGGUUGUGGGCGCCUGUAAUCCCAGCUACCCAGGAGACCGAGGCAGGAGAAUCACUUGAACCCGGGAGGCAGAGGUUGCAGUCAGCCGAGAUUGUGCCAUUACACUCCAGCCUGGGCAACAAGAGCGAAACUCUGUUUCAAUAAAUAAAUAAAAAUGCAAAUUGUAUGCCCCUUCCUUCAGGCCUAUGGGACCAAAAACUGGGAUGGGGCCCAAUAAAAUGUUUUAACCAGCCCUUCGGUGGUUACAGAAGGAUAGAGCCAGAAUAGACUAACCACUGUAACAAACAUUACCUAUACUUGGGAGGCUUUGAAAAAUGUUUAUUUAGCCGGGUGCGGUGGCUCACGCCUGUAAUCCCAACACUUUGGGAGGCUGAGGCGGGCGGAUCACGAGGUCAGGAGAUUGAGACCAGCCUGGCUAACACAGUGAAACCCCGUCUCUACUAAAAAUACAAAAAAUUAGCCAGGUGUGGUGGCAGGUGCCUGUAGUCCCAGCUACUCUGGAGGCUGAGGCAGUAGAAUUUCUUGAACCCAGGAGGCGGGGCUUGCAGUAAGUCGAGAUCACGCCACUGCACUCCAGCCUGGGUGACAGAGUGAGACUCCAUCUCAAAAAAAAAAAAAAAGGAAAGAAAAAUGUUUAUUUUUUUGCUCAUGCCACAGUCUCUGGUAGUUGCUGGGAACUAGGGUGGGGGAUUCUCUGCUCCACACAGUCUUUCAUGGACCCAGGUUCCUUUCCUGUUGUGGGUCCAGCCUCCUGUAGCUGUUGGAGGCAUCUCUAGUCAGCUGGUGGUUGGGGAAGAGGUGAGGAUCAGGGAGGGAAGAUGGAGAGUACUCUGCUUGUUCUCACAUUCUGCUGGCCAGAACUCACAAGCCACCUGAAAUGAUGCAAAGGUCUAGCUGUGUGUGUAGGAGAAAGAAGAGAGGCCAGAUAUUGGAAGACAGCAGUGGUCUGUGCCCCAGGCCCCAUGGUUUAGGGAAGUGAACCUUGGCACUGGAUUUCCUGGCUUUCUAAAUCUCCCUUUAUAGGGAACUUAGGGCCCAGUCUGUGGUGGGUGGAUUUGCCUGGUUCACAGCCUCUGGUCAGCCUUCUUUCUGCUCCACAGGGCGGCCUGGAGAUGGUGGGCUCCUUGUCACACUGGUUGGGGAUGUGGGCUCCAUGGGGCCAGAGAUGUGUGUGCUCUGUGUUCAGAUUAAGGGACAGACGGCACAUGAAUUCCUUCAGUGCCCUCCAGAUUUGGUCACUGGGGAGGGGUAGGCUGAGCAGUAGCUCUUGGGUCUGUAGUAGUGUGACCCUGGAAGGACUGUCCAGCUGAAAACAAGAGCCUGGGGCGUGGGGAGGGGAGGGGUUACUCAGGGUUCCAUGAGACCUGGGUUUAAGUCCUGGAUCCAUCAUUAGCAGCUAUGUGAACUUAUGCCUCACUUUCCUCAAAUAUGAACUUGAGAUAAUGAAAUUACCUUCCUCAUAAUACUGUUCUAAGAAUUGAAUGAGGAAAGGUUUACAAUUCGGCCCUGGUUGUUCCACUGGGGAGGGAACAGAGAUUGGGGGCACAGGGCUCCCCUGGCCUGGGGGAGUCUGGCUCACUCAAGUUCUCAGUCAUUUGCAAGGCAAGGACCCUGCUUCUCCUUGCUCUGGGUCCGAGUAGUCUCAAGCCCAGUGGGCAGGGCCUGUGGUGUGGAUGGACUCGUCUGCAGUGAGUCAGGCAGCAGGCAGAGCUGGCAGGCUGUGUGGUCUCUAGUGGGUACCAGGGGACCUGGGAGGGCCUUGUGGGAGGUUGUCCACGGUGUGAGCCAGUUUGCCAUCUGGGGUCCUGGAGUUCCCUCCCGCCCUUUGAGUUAAAAAGAGUCAGUCCUGGGCUGAGACUUAAUUGCGCUAGUGCUGAGUGACCUUGUGUCAGGGGAAAUCGGAUGGGGCAAAGUGUUUUUUAAUUAGCAGGACUCACUGACCUUUCCUUCACUGUCAGCAACUUCUCACAGGGAGGCAGAGCAAGGGGGGCUGGAGCCCCGCAUCUCUCUAAUGGAGCCUAUGUCCAACAAGGAGGUGGAUGGCUGGAUUCAGGGCCCUGGGAGGACUUCAUGUGGGAAGCAGACCUCAGGAAGGGCCCUUAGUGAUGGUGUGGGCCAGGGUUCUCACCUCCUUAGUCUCCUGUCCUGUCCAUCUCCGCAGAUCCUAGGCAAAAGAAGCGGAGAAACACUCAAGCCACUGGGGUGGUUAGGGCACACUGGUGGCAACUGUUUAAAACCUUAACUAAAACAAGGUUAAGCAAAAGGAGUUUACAGGCUCUCAUAGAUGGGAAGGAUGUGGGAGGGUCACAGACUGAGAGGAACCAGGGCUGUGGCUGCUGGAAGGAGCCUCACCACCGCCAGUGUGUUUCCUCCCCGUCGUCGGCAUCUCUGCUUCUCUCUGCACGCCAGCAGCUCUCUCUUAGGGCACGCAGACCUUUCCUCUGCAGGGGAACACGAGUGCCGGCAGCCCCGAGUUAGUGACUAUCAUAGAAACUCAGUGUAUUUCUCUCUUGUUUAUCAUUCCGAGUCCUGAGUCACAGGCUUGUCCAGCACUCAAGACUUUUUCUUUUCUCUAUUUUUUGAAACGGAUUCUCGCUCUGUCCCCCAGGCUGGAGUGCAGUGGCCCGAUUUUGGGUGCAAGCGAUUCUCCUGCCUCAACCUCCCGAGUAGCUGGGACUACAGGUGUGCGCCACCACAUCCAGCUAAUUUUUGUAUUUUUAGUAGAGACGGAGUUUCACUAUGUUGGCCAGGCUGGUUUCAAACUCCUGACCUCCCGCCGGCCUCAGCCUCCCAAAGUGCUGGGAUUACAGGCAUGAGCCACCACGCCUGGCCAAGAUUUUUUCUUUUAAACCUGGAGUAUGGAGAUGCUCACUAGGCAGACAGAAUCAGCCACCACAGCCCACUCCCUCAGCCAGUAUUACUUUGACUAAGUUAGUGAGGAACCAGGCCCCAGAUUAAGAAGCAGAACUCACACUGUCAUCUGCUGUGUGCCUGGCUGGCUCAUGCAUACCUUGUCUAUCUAAUGUGGACCAAAGCCCUGUGGCACACCCUGCUGGUUACCCCCAGUGGUUACCCUGGCACAGAGGAGGAAAGGGAGUCGUGGGAGGGAGAAGGACUUCCCUGGGAGGUCUCUGGGCUGGCAAGUUGGGUGACACAGGUCCGGUUGGCUGCAAGCCUGGGCUCUGCUGUUGUAAUCAUAAAUGUGUGUGUGUGUACAGUUGUUUACAAUGUCAGCAUGGGUGUCCUUGUUUGUUAGAGAUACAUGCCACUGCUCCCAUCAUGAGGAAAAUCCCAAGCCCUCCCCAUGAUUUUUGCCAGUUUCUGGGGACUCAUGCUCCUGGCAGCCCAUGUGUCCCCAACUCCUGUGUCCUUUAGGGACCUCUGUUGAGCCCUGCCUCUAUUCUGGCAGAAUUAGAGAAAAUUCUUUAAAAAAACAAUAAAGUUUAAAUUCAUUUAAAAAAAUAAUAAAAAAUCUCACAGCAUGAGUUUUGAUGAGAUUUGGGGCAAGGUGGGCCACAACCUUGGGUUGUAUGGCCACCUCCCCCUCUUCUUCCCCUGUUGUCUCUGCAGCUCAGAAACCCCAAUUUCCUGGCCUGUGUUAUGUGGAGGAGCUGAGCUCACCCCCUACAGCUUCAUCUCCAAACCUAGCAAGGAUCCUGCCCAGAUCAGGAGAUCCUCCUUUUAACAGAAGUUAUUUACACUCCUUAGAAAGCAGUGGGGGUGGAACGAUUCUUUUUCCUGAUGCAGAGAUGUAAAACUGGGACAUUGCUACACAUAAUAUUUUAAACCUGUCUUCCCUCUUACCAACGAACACAUCACUAGCACCAUCUAUGCCAAUACAUUUCUCAACAUCAAUUUCAGUGGCUGUAUUACAUUUUAUCCUACGGAUGUGCUCUCAUUUAUAAUCUAAACCACUUUUAUUGAACACAUCAGUUAUUCUGAAAUUUUCAGUGUUAUGAUGGAUGUUGCAGUAAUUAUUCUUAUAUAUGCACAGAACCCCCAGAGGACAUGACUACUGAAGGCUGUGCUGGCAGGAUCACAGGGGAGACAAGGCAGAAACUACUCCAGACUCUCACCUGCUGUUGCUGAUCCUUACAUGGUGGCUGUGCCAGGCUCAGCCGCGCUGAGAUGACAGGGCUGUCUGGCCAUCAUUGGUCAUAUGGACUUCAGAUUUGAAAGGAUUUUAUGUAGAAGCAGAGUGCCUGAUAGGACUCUCCGGGACCCCCAUUUCUGCCCUGCUUGGCUCCCACUGGCAAGGCUGGCUCAGUUCCUGUCACCUUCUCCUGGACUUUGGCCAGAGUCCACUGGCUGUUUCCCCUGCCUCCUGCUCUCCCAGUGCCCUCUCCACACCAGUGCCAGAGCUGCUUCUAAGAGAUGCCUCAAAGCCCGCUUCCAGCUUAGGAACCCCAGGGAACAUGGAUGGUUUCUCCAUUGCCACUUCCUAGCCUUCCUGGCAUAGGAAGGUCUGGUUUGCCUGCAGGUCCCUCUCUGGGGGGGUCCCUGCUCCAUAGAUGCUGAGGCUCCAGAAGUCUGUUCUUUUAUAUCACAUUUGAAAACCUUUGAAAUGCAUUAUAGUUGAGUCAUAUGAAUUAUGUAAGUAUAUCCUACUCAUUGUAUAAAACAACACAGAAUUGUCUAAAGUGUCAUUUUUCUCCGCAUUCCAAGAAAAAGCUAAGAAGCAAUGCUAAACAAUUAGGCGUGUGAUCUUCUGUACUUUUCCCUUUGUCUCCACAAAAGUAAUCGGACAUACAGAAUUUUAAAAAUGGAUUACCCUGGGAAAGGCUCCUCCUCUCCCUCUCCCUCCUCUCCCUCUCCCUCCUCUCCCUCUCCCUCCUCUCCCUCUCCCUCCUCUCCCUCUCCCUCCUCUCCCUCUCCCUCCUCUCCCUCUCCCUCUCCCUCUCCCCACGGUCUCCCUCUCCCUCUCUUUCCACGGUCUCCCCCUGAUGCCGAGCCAAAGCUGGACUGUACUGCUGCCAUCUCGGCUCACUGCAACCUCCCUGCCUGAUUCUCCUGCCUCAGCCUGCCGAGUGCCUGCGAUUGCAGGCGCGCGCCGCCACGCCUGACUGGUUUUCGUAUUUUUUUGGUGGAGACGGGGUUUCGCUGUGUUGGCCGGGCUGGUCUCCAGCUCCUAACCGCGAGUGAUCCGCCAGCCUCAGCCUCCCGAGGUGCCGGGAUGGCAGACGGAGUCGUGUUCACUCAGUGCUCAAUGGUGCCCAGGCUGGAGUGCAGUGGCGUGAUCUCGGCUCGCUACAACCUCCACUUCCCAGCUGCCUGCCUUGGCCCCGCAAAGUGCCGAGAUUGCAGCCUCUGCCCGGCCGCCACCCCGUCUGGGAAGUGAGGAGCGUCUCUGCCUGGCCGCCCAUCGUCUGGGAUGUGAGGAGCCUCUCUGCCUGGCUGCCCAGUCUGGAAAGUGAGGAGCGUCUCUGCCCGGCCGCCAUCCCAUCUAGGAAGUGAGGAGCGUCUCUGCCAGGCCGCCCAUCUUCUGCGAUGUGGGGAGCGCCUCUGCCCUGCCGCCCCGUCUGGGAUGUGAGGAGCGUCUCUGCCCGGCUGCCCCGUCUGAGAAGUGAGGAGACCCUCUGCCUGGCAACCGCCCCGUCUGAGAAGUGAGGAGCCCCUCCGCCCAGCAGCCACACCCUCUGAGAAGUGAGGAGCCCCUCCGCCCGGCAGCCACUCCGUCUGGGAAGUGAGGAGCGUCUCCGCCUGGCAGCCACCCCGUCUGGGAGGGAGGUGGGGGUCAGCCCCCCGCCCGGCCAGCCGCCCUGUCCAGAAGGGAGGUGGGGGGGUUAGCCCCCCGCCCGGCCAGCCGCCCCAUCCAGGAGGGAGGUGGGGGGGGUCAUCCCUCUGCCCGGCCAGCUGCCCGUCCGGGAGGGAGGUGGGGGGGUCAGCCCCCCGCCCGGCCAGCCACCCCGUCCGGGAGGUGAGGGGCGCCUCUGCCCGGCCGCCCCUACUGGGAAGUGAGGAGCCCCUCUGCCCGGCCAGCCGCCCCGUCCAGGAAGGAUGUGGGGGGGUCAGCCCCGGGCCCGGCCAGCCGCCACAUCCGGGAGGUGAGGGGCGCCUCUGCCCGGCCGCCCCUACUGGGAAGAGAGGAGCCCCUCUGCCCGGCCAGCCGCCCCGUCCGGGAGGGAGGCGGGGAGGUCAGCCCCCCGCCCGGCCAGCCGCCCCGUCCAGGAGGGAGGCGGGGGGGUCAGCCCCCCGCCUGGCCAGCUGCCCCGUCCGGGAGGUGAGGGGCGCCUCUGCCUGGCCGCCCCUACUGGGACGUGAGGAGCCCCUCUGCCCGGCCAGCCGCCCCGUCCAGGAGGGAGGUGGGGGGGUCAGCCCCCCACCCGGCCAGCCGCCCCAUCCGGGAGGGAGGUGGGGGGGUCAGCCCCCCACCCGGCCAGCCGCCCCAUCCGGGAGGGAGGCGGGGAGGUCAGCCCCCCGCCCAGCCAGCCGCCCUGUCCGGGAGGGAGGCGGGGGGGUCAGCCCCCUGCCCGGCCAGCCGCCCCGUCCGGGAGGUGAGGGGCGCCUCUGCCCGGCCGCCCCUACUGGGAAGUGAGGAGCCCCUCUGCCCGGCCACCACCCCGUCUGGGAGGUGUACUCAACAGCUCAUUGAGAACGGGCCAUGAUGACAAUGGCGGUUUUGUGGAAUAGAAAGGGGGGAAAGGUGGGGAAAAGAUUGAGAAAUCGGAUGGUUGCCAUGUCUGUGUAGAAAGAGGUAGACAUGGGAGACUUUUCAUUUUGUUCUGUACUAAGAAAAAUUCUUCUGCCUUGGGAUCCUGUUGAUCUGUGACCUUACCCCCAACCCUGUGCUCUCUGAAACAUGUGCUAUGUCCACUCAGGGUUGAAUGGAUUAAGGGUGGUGCAAGAUGUGCUUUGUUAAACAGAUGCUUGAAGGCAGCAUGCUCAUUAAGAGUCAUCACCACUCCCUAAUCUCAAGUACCCAGGGACACAAACACUGCGGAAGGCUGCAGGGUCCUCUGCCUAGGAAAACCAGAGACCUUUGUUCACUUAUCUGCUGACCUUCCCUCCACUAUUGUCCUGUGACCCUGCCAAAUCCCCCUCUGCGAGAAACACCCAAGAAUGAUCAAUAAAAAAGAAAAAAAAUGGAUUACCCUGU